rnacentral:lncRNA from 1 species
GCUCUCAGUCCUCUUCCCGUGCGCCCGGAGGCGGUGGGUCAGCAGCGCUGUGCUAGCAGGAAGGUCUGUGAAGUUUGCAAUAAAGCCAUUAUGAAGUCAAGAAUGGAGGUUCCAUUUUUAAAGAACUCAGAGGGGGUAGAUCUUGAUUGACAUCUCAUCUGGGGUCACCUGGUCUUCAACUGAGAGAUCUUUUGGUUCGCCACGGAUGCCCCUUGCAGUUAUGGAAGUUCACUCUUUGAGAGAGAGAUAAAUAAACAUUAAAAUGUAAAGAAAAAAAAAAUCAGCAAUGGAAGGAAAAAGGAACAAAAAGCAAUCCAUUGGCGUCAAGCUUGACUGGACCACUCCACUGCUCUGCUGCCGUUAGUGAACCUGACCCUGCAGCAGGAGUCACAGACUCACCACUCACCUCAAGUCCUCACUCCCUGGACCCUCAAUCUACACAUCACUUUGUCUUUUAUUUCCCUGAGAAAUACAGGCCAUCAGUUUGCAGAUCCCUCCUUUCCCCUUACCCUGCAAAUCUCCAUCUAUUUGGAAAAGUGUGCCUCCUACAUUCCAAAGCUAACCCCUCCUCCUCUGCCACUAAUAUCAGCCCUACCUGCCUUCUUCUGUAACUUGCUCCAUUAAUUCCCUCCCCUCUCCCCCAGGUCUCCCUGCCUAUGAACAUAUUCAAGGACAUCAUAUCUUAAAAACAAACAAAUAUCAGGCACAAUGGCUCACACCUGUAAUCCCAGCACUUUGAGAGGUCAAGGCAGGAGAAUCACUUGAAUCCAGGGGUUCAAGACCAGCCUGGGAAACAUAGGGAGACCCUAUCUCUACAAAAAAUAUUUUUUAAAAAAAUUAGCCAGGUGUGGUGGUGUGCACCUGUAGUCCCAACUACUCAGAAGGCUGGGGUGGGAGAAAUAUUUCAGCCCAGGACGUCACUGUGCACAAUUGCUUUACUUUUUUUUCCCUUGGUAUAGACUUGUUGAAGAGUAAGCCUUCAUGUACUGUUUCCUCACUUUACAUUCACUCUCAACUGGAGACAAUAUAGAGUCUUCGCAGAUGCAGCUUUCUCCAGACCAACAAUGUGGUUAGACAUCUGGUUUUUCAUUGUUGUUGUUUGAUUUCUCUGACUAGCUUCCCUGACCAGAGGUCGUUUUGAGUUUCCUUCUCUGGAAUUUGACCACUGAGCAGAGACACAUAGGAGAGAAGACGUGAAUGCUGAGUCAUCAAUCAGCAUCACUGGGAAGAAAAAGCCUCUCAGUUUCUUCUGCUGGGACUCCCAGAGCUGGAGUAUUUUCUGCUCUUCCUAAGGCCUGCACUUCUCCUUGCUGCUGCUGUGUGAAGAAGGAUGUGUUUUCUUCCUCUUCCUCCGUGAUUGUAAGUUUCCUGAGGCCUCCUCAGCAAUGCUGAACUGUGAGUCAAUUAAAUCUCUUUCCUUUACAAAUUAACCAGUCUUGGGUAUGUCUUUAUUAGCAGCAUAAGAACAGACUAAUACAGAUACCCAAAGUCAUUGGUAUUAGGACAAAGGAGCAGAAAUUCAUAAAGGAAAGACAGAGACACAGAGAGAUGGCUGACUUUUUUCUUAAUGCCAGGUUUUAGAAAUGAAAGUAUUUAAGGCUUUGAUAAUAUAUAUUAUCAAAUUAUAUUUCAAAGUGUGGUAAUAAUCUACAGUCCUUCCCAAAAGUCCUGAAAAUGUUUAUUUCAUUUCAUUAGAUAUGAUACAUUUAAAAGUCCUUAAACCUUGAUACACAAGAAUAUAUACAAAUAAUUUUGCACUUUCUUCAACAUUUUCUUGUAUGUGUGAUAAAUACAUUUCCUAUUCUGUGUAUUAUCAUUAUGGUUUUUAUACUUUUCAUGUUUUAAUAUUUUAAAUUAUUUUAUAACAAACGUAUUAACCUUUAAAAAGAAGACAAAUGUAGACUGUCUUUAAUUACAUUCUGCAUUAGAAACCAUAAAUAUUUUAGCAUUCAAAUUCAUGCAGUCGAGAAGAGUCUUAAAAAAUUCUGUAGGUGUUCAAAUGAAAAUAUAAAGAGAUUGGAGAAAAAUUGAUCUCAAGCAAGAGAGAGAAUAAAAAUCACUCGUAAGAAGUAUAGGUGUUCUCAUGGCUAAAUUUGGCAGUGGUGGUAAAAAUGGGAGGUGUAGAUAAGAAGAUUUCAAAUAGAAGAAAUAAUCAAGAAUAUAUCCUUAAAACGCUGAGUUGAAACAUAAAACUGAAAUACCAUUAUAUAGGUGAUUCUAUUAUGCAACCAGAGUUGAGAACCACAGAUCUCAUUGAUUUAUGCAGUCCUUUCCAUCAAGAACCCUCUCUGACUUUAAAUUCAAUGUAUCAGUACAUUGAUAUUUUAUCACAUCCACUUCCUUUCUGUCCGUAGUCACCUUGGAUGGACAGUUUACACAAUAAUUUGUAGAAAUAAUAAUAAUAAAAUAAUGUGGAGAAGAGUUUCCACAAUAAUUUUUGGAAUUUAAUGAUUUUGACAUUACACAUAGUCUUAAUGGUUUGAUAGAAACAAAUGUGUGACUUGAUAAAAGAUCAGCUGAUCUCAUGAAUUCUUAAACACAGCUCUUUAAGGAAUUUUUCCUUUUAUAAGGAAUCAUCAUCUUAGAAAAACAUUUAAGCUUUUAAUAUCAUUGGACUUGCUAUUAUUUUUAGUUUAUGAAUUUUUUUAAAAAAAUUAGAAAUGAAUUAAAAUUAAUGGCAGAAAUACCUUCAAAUACUUUCACACUGACUAAUCUGAAUGGGGUUAGGGACAGAUGACAGCAACUCAAAAUGACACAGAGGAAGAAACUUCAGACUUCCUGGGGAUUUUCUGGUAAACUCUGACUAAAAACUAACUCCUCUGAUUGUGCAGCAAUGUUCCCUGCUAACAUAGCCUUCCUUUUGGACUACCAGCUUUUUUUUUUUUUUUUUUUUUUGAAACAGAAUCUCACCUUGUCACCCAGGCUGGAGUGCAAUGGCAUAAUCUCAGCUCACUGCAACCUCUGUCUCCCAGGCUCAAAUGAUUCUCCUGCCUCAGCCUCCUGAGUAGCUGGGAUUACAGGCGCCCAUGGACUACCAGCUUUUUAAGUAGACUUUUUAGCCAAAGGCCAAGGGAAACUACCCUCUUCCUACUGGGGUUCAAAUUGAUUAAAAUGGUUUGCUUUGACUUUUGUUGAAGUCUCUUUAUUUUCUUUUUAAGAUUAUGUUAAAUUAUAAUCCACAUUGGCUUUCUUUUUACAGGUAAACUUUUUCUCUUCUAGAUUUCUAGACGGCCUUCCCCCACUUCGCUUCUCUCUCUGCCAUUUUCCUCCCCUCUCCCGCCUCCCCAAGUUAGAAGAGGCUGACAAAAAGAGGCUCAUCAAAGUUAAAUGUUGCCAACAUAAAUUGGUCCCUCUUCUCUUCCUUGAUGUGACUGGUCUCUCAACCUAUUGAUGGCAUCCAGUUCCAACUUUCCUCUUCUCAUUUGGGACAUUGGGAGGAGAGUAGUCUCUAUUUUUAAUAACAAAGUAG